rnacentral:rRNA from 1 species
UAGUCCGGGUCCGGAUUGGAGUCUGCAACUCGACUCCAUGAAGUCGGAAUCGCUAGUAAUCGUGAAUCAGAAUGUCACGGUGAAUACGUUCCCGGGCCUUGUACACACCGCCCGUCACACCAUGGGAGUGGGCUGCAAAAGAAGUGGGUAGUUUAACCUUUCGGGGAGGACGCUCACCACUUUGUGGUUCAUGACUGGGGUGAAGUCGUAACAAGGUAGCCCUAGGGGAACCUGGGGCUGGAUCACCUCCUUAUACGAUGAU